CGGAGUGAUCUUGCUGGAGGGGAAACACCCGUUCCCAUUCCGAAUACGGUAGUUAAGACCUCCAAGGCCCAUGGUACUAUACUGGCAACGGUAUGGGAGAGUAGGUAGUUGCUCCGG
rnacentral:rRNA from 1 species